AGCGAACGCUGGCGGCAGGCCUAACACAUGCAAGUCGAACGAACUCUUCGGAGUUAGUGGCGGACGGGUGAGUAACACGUGGGAACGUGCCUUUUGGUUCGGAAUAACUCAGGGAAACUUGUGCUAAUACCGAAUGUUCCCUUCGGGGGAAAGAUUUAUCGCCAUUAGAGCGGCCCGCGUCUGAUUAGCUAGUUGGUGAGGUAACGGCUCACCAAGGCGACGAUCAGUAGCUGGUCUGAGAGGAUGACCAGCCACACUGGGACUGAGACACGGCCCAGACUCCUACGGGAGGCAGCAGUGGGGAAUCUUGCGCAAUGGGCGAAAGCCUGACGCAGCCAUGCCGCGUGAAUGAUGAAGGUCUUAGGAUUGUAAAAUUCUUUCACCGGGGACGAGAAUGACGGUACCCGGAGAAGAAGCCCCGGCUAACUUCGUG
rnacentral:rRNA from 1 species